CUGUUAUGUCAUUUAUUUUACUUAAAUGUUUUUAUUGAAAAGGAAAGUUCAGUUGGAGAGGACUUCAAGAAAAGAUUAAGAAAUGACAACCAUAGUUUUUUUUUUUUUUUUAAAGGCAAUUUUUUCCCCUUAAAAAUAUGUGCCAAUUUAGCCAUUUACAUAUUGCACCCUGUCCUGACAUAGAUAAAAUCCUUGAGAGCAAGGACUAUUUUUAAAAGUUUUGACUUUGUAUUUCCAGGGCCUAGUAGCAGUUGAAAAAGUACUAGACCUCUAGAUAAUCUGGGUCCAAGUCCUGGCUUCCACAUUUCCUAGUUGUUGGAUGUCACUCCUGGGAAAAAAAAAAUCUAUCUGUUAAAUGGGGAUGCUAUCUUUUGUACCUCCCUGAUUUGUUGUGAGGGGAGCACUCUGUAAACUUUUAUUAAUUCUAGGUGUAUUUAUUAUUAUGUUGCAUAUAUGCUUUCUAAAAUCCAUUUCGUGUAAACUUGUGCAGGGGUGUUCUAGGUCACAGAACAGGGCAGCUGAAGUUCUCCUGAAUCAAAGUAAUACUCUAGAAAGUCUCUCCCUAGAAAGAGAAACUAGCAGACACCCAAACAGGCAGCUCUGAAUUACUGCCCGAAUGGUAAGGGCUUCAUAUUUCAAUGAUCAGGGGUAUGGUCCAAUCAGCAAACAAACCCCAUGUACUGCUAGGGAUCAGCAAAUAGGCUGUGUCCCAGCCAUGCACAUGACUCAAUUUGCUUCUGUCCAUCAUCUAGGUCAUAUGUAGUUCAAUUCAAGUAGAGCAGACAGACAGGGCUGCAAAGCUCUCUGGGGCAGUUCAAUAACCUUGUCUAGCCUAUAUCUGACUACCUGUUUUUCCCCCUUUCUUCUUUCUGGACAAACUCACAGCUCCAUCUUUCUCUUCACUGAAUCCCAGACUGGCCAGGAAUUCCCAGUCACAAGAGAUUCAGAGAAGUUGUUCUCAAUCUGUGCCAGCUUGAAGUUUGUUUGCUUUUUUGUGUAUGUGUUGUAUGUGGCUGCUUUUUUUUCCCUCCCCAUUUUGACAGAGAUCCAACUGUUCUUUAAAAAAAAAAAAAAAAAAAAAAAAAAGUCUUGCGUAACAGUUCGGGACUACUUCGAUUCUUUGCCUAGGUACCAAAGAGCAAAGAGUAGACACCAGAAGUUUAAGAACUCUGUCAUUUGCUGGCUGCCCACCACUCCCAUAGUUGAAGUAGAAGAGGCAUUCUGCUAAGGAAGUAAGUAUUCUACUUAGCCCAAUGGGGACAGAUUGAUAUAACAAAAAUACUAGAAUUGGGAGUUGGCCAACUUAACUCUGAACUGCAGUUAUAGUACUAACACAUAUGGCUACAGAUAGUUCGGUUUCCUUCUCAGAAGUUCAGAUUCAUCAUCCAAAGAAGCACUAGUAGUAGUUCAAAUUGAUAUAGCCCUUAAAGACAUACAGAUAGAUGAUACAGGUAGUAUUAUACCCAUUGUAUAAAUAAAAAAUAAAAAUAAAAGGUCAUAAGGAUAUAUAAUUUGCCCAGGUAGUUUAAGAGCAGACAUUCAAACUCCUGUCCCUUUCUUUUCUGUCCCUGCCCUUUCUACUGUAAAACACUGCAUUUCUAAAAUGGGAAAGAUAACACAAUACUGCUUGCAUUACAAAUCUCCAUUGUUGUCAAAAGAAUAUUAUACAUUUUAAAAGGGCCAUUCUGCUGUGAAUCACUAUAUCUCUCCACAGGGUAGAAUUUUUGAAAAACGAAUUAAGGUACCUCUCAGCAGGCAUAGUAGACAAGAGGUGAAGAAUGGAUAACAUAUUUCAGUCAUGGACAAAUGCAUGUUUGUUUUGCUUAACUGUACUGAAUUAUGAGAAAAUGUUUUAUUGAAGGGAGAACAACUUCAAAAGAAAAAUUUUAAAUGGUUUAUGAGAACCUCUUAAUCCCCUUUGUCAAGUAUACAGAAAUAAAACAAGUUAUGACUUGUAGGGUGUGGUAGGAGCUCUAGGAAUAUAUAUCUAAUUUUAAGUUUUAAGCAAAUAGUUUAGGUCAAAAUACUAUUUCAAUAUCUUCAUUGAAAUGGACAGAAGAACCCAUCAGAUAAGAAAGAGCUCUGAAUUUGUAGUCAAAAGACCCAAAUCUGAAACCCAUAUAAUGUGGACAAGUCAUUACUCCUCAGUGUCAGUUUCUUCAUCUGUAAAAUGAAAGGCUAAUCUCUAUCAUCCAUUCUAGUCCUACGAACAUGUAAAACUCCUAUCAUUUAAUAUUAUUAUAAUAUAGUUAUACUUCAAUAGACAGUUAAGUCUCCAUGAACUGCCACAAUCCAAAGAAAAAAUUAAAUCUUUAGGGAUAAAUCCUCUGGAAAUGAGGUUCUGAUAGAAUGUUUCUUGGACACAUAUAGUCCAUUUCCAGGCAGGCCCAUCCUCAAAGACUUGUUGUCUGGCAGAACUAAUCAAAGAUUACACUAUCCUAGCAUAAACCUACAAAAACCCAGUCACCUUCAUUCUUGAAAUAAGUUAUCAAAGGAUUACUUAAGUGAAGAUAGGGUUUAAAAUAGCCAAUAUAAAAAUGAAUGCGACGUUUUCAUAGUUGCCAAUCAGCACCAUGCAAAAAAAAGCAGCUCUCUCAGUAUUCUCUUCAAGUGUGACUGUUUAUCUAUAAUCUCACAGUCCUGCAAUUUAUUAGCUCUUUUCUAACACACAGUUCCAUUUCCAAAUUAAAACACUUGUGAUGUAAGUUCCUGAAAGGAAUAUGCAGCUAUCAACAAUCUUUCAAAUGGAAAAGAGAUGCAAGAAAAAAUAUAUAUGCACAAAGAGCAUAUGGAG